rnacentral:rRNA from 1 species
CCUACGGGAGGCAGCAGUGGGGGAUAUUGCACAAUGGGGGGAACCCUGAUGCAGCGACGCCGCGUGGGUGAAGAAGCGCCUCGGCGCGUAAAGCCCUGUCAGCAGGGAAGAAAAUGACGGUACCUGAAGAAGAAGCCCCGGCUAACUACGUGCCAGCAGCCGCGGUAAUACGGAGGGGGCAAGCGUUAUCCGGAUUUACGGGGGUGAAAGGGGGCGCAGCCGGCGAUGCAAGCCAGGAGUGAAAGCCCGGGGCCCAACCCCGGGACUGCUCUUGGAACUGCGUGGCUGGAGUGCAGGAGGGGCAGGCGGAAUUCCUGGUGUAGCGGUGAAAUGCGUAGAUAUCAGGAGGAACACCGGUGGCGAAGGCGGCCUGCUGGACUGCAACUGACGUUGAGGCCCGAAAGCGUGGGGAGCAAACAGGAUUAGAUACCCCAGUAGUC